rnacentral:rRNA from 1 species
AUUGAACGCUGGCGGCGUGCCUUACACAUGCAAGUCGAACGGUAACAGGUCUUCGGAUGCUGACGAGUGGCGAACGGGUGAGUAAUACAUCGGAACGUGCCUAGUAGUGGGGGAUAACUACUCGAAAGAGUGGCUAAUACCGCAUGUGAUCUACGGAUGAAAGCAGGGGAUCGCAAGACCUUGUGCUACUAGAGCGGCCGAUGGCAGAUUAGGUAGUUGGUGGGAUAAAAGCUUACCAAGCCGACGAUCUGUAGCUGGUCUGAGAGGACGAUCAGCCACACUGGGACUGAGACACGGCCCAGACUCCUACGGGAGGCAGCAGUGGGGAAUUUUGGACAAUGGGCGCAAGCCUGAUCCAGCAAUGCCGCGUGCAGGAUGAAGGCCUUCGGGUUGUAAACUGCUUUUGUACGGAACGAAAAGCCCCGGGUUAAUACCCUGGGGUCAUGACGGUACCGUAAGAAUAAGCACCGGCUAACUACGUGCCAGCCGCCGCAGUAA